rnacentral:rRNA from 1 species
GCUUACGGCCAUACCAACCUGGCUAUGCCCGAUCUCGUCUGCUCUCGGAAGCUAAGCAGGUUUGGGCCUGGUUAGUACUUGGAUGGGAGACCGCCUGGGAAUACCAGGUGCUUUAAGCU